rnacentral:misc_RNA from 1 species
AAGGAGCAUCUGCGGAUCGGGCUUGCCUGGUUCGGAGGCCACGCGGUCGGCGAACGAUCGACCGGUGGAGCUCAAUAUUGUGGAUGCUGGCUAAUGCAUGAAUCGGGAUUGCCGACCGAGUUAGUACUGCUCGCGAGAGCGUGGAAGGGUCGGUCGGGGGUUUCGAGAAUUGUUCGGUACGCUGUUGGGUCCUGAGAGAACACGUGAGUGUCUUUCAGUGAUCGGGGCUUCCCCGUCAUGCGAACCACUGCCCGAGAUACUGGGUGGCAGGCGUUGACAGUAGUGGGAGGUCGUCGGUUUGUUCUUUGAGAACUGCACAGUGGAUGCGAGCAUCUUUGU